rnacentral:rRNA from 1 species
UACGGAGGGGGCUAGCGUUGUUCGGAAUUACUGGGCGUAAAGCGUCCGCAGGUGGACAUACAAGUCUGCUGUCAAAGUGCAGAGCUUAACUCUGUAAAGGCGGUGGAAACUGUAGGUCUUGAGUAUGGUAGGGGUAGAGGGAAUUCCCGGUGUAGCGGUGAAAUGCGUAGAUAUCGGGAAGAACACCAGUGGCGAAAGCGCUCUACUGGGCCAUAACUGACACUGAGGGACGAAAGCUAGGGGAGCGAAAGGG